rfam:Schistosoma rodhaini strain Burundi genome assembly, scaffold: SROB_scaffold0019761
GCAUUGCUGAAGAGUCCCACAAAAUAGGACGAAACGGCUGUUCAGUGC